rnacentral:rRNA from 1 species
GUCCUCCCGAGAUCGCGAGAGACCCACCGAACUGUAGAAUACGAAAACCCACCCCAUCCACUGCCCCGAUCCCCUCUCCUGACCUCCCCAAAUCCCCUCUCCCCACCUUCCCCGAUCGCCGCCGCUGCCUCCCUCCCUGAAUCGCGCCGCCGCCGCCUCCCUCCCUGAAUCGCGCCGCCGCCGCCAUCCUCCCUGAAUCGCGCCGCCGCCGCCAUCCUCCCUGAAUCGCGCCGCCGCCACCCUCCCUGGAUAGCGUUGUCGUCGCCGCCACCCUCCAUGGUUCGCGCCUCCGCCGCCUCCCUCCCUGGAUCACAGCGCCGCUGCCCACCACUUCCACGACACGCCUCCACCGCCACCCACCCCGUCCCCGACGCGCCUGCAGCCUUCCGGACGGAUCCGGUCGAGGCCGGCGAGAUCCACGCGGCCGACCACAAGUUCUGCCUUAUCCCACAACAUCCAUCCAUCGACAUCGACUGAUAUGAACAAAAUCAGUCCAUCGACACCCGCGCACGGCUUGGAUUCUGCACGUCGCCGCCAUGAGAUGCAGUCUACUAGCUCACCUCCGCCACCAUGCCUCCUCACCUCUGCCAUCGACGGUCGCCACUGUGCUCGAGGUCUCUUGUACAUGCCAUGGCCAGGGGCCCCAACCCCUUAUGCUACCGGAUCCUGGGGUCGCCGUUGGACCCGUCGCCGUCAGCCUCCCCAACCUUCUCUGGUUACCUGGACAGGAUUGCCCUUGCCAUUGAGCGCGACCAGUGCCUGUAUUUCGUCCACGACCAAGCCACUGUGCUCAUCUUCAGUUCCGCGUCGACCAGUUGCAUAAUAGUAGCGGAAAGGAUGCAGGCUUCCACACGGUGCCUAAAAAAUGCCACUUUUCCAAUAUCGUCUCCAUCCGAGCACGAAGCCGCUGCUGCCCGUCAGUGCUUGGUCAACGACCGACCGAACAACUCUUCCCUCUCCACCACGAGAAGUUCGUCACCUCACGCGCGAGCAGUCCAUCUAUCGCCUCCCGUGCAAGCACUCCAUCACCUCACACAGUGUCCGUUCGACAGAGUUUGUCCUUUUGAAGAAGCAGAAAAUGGAGUUUGAAGCGGCCGCGGGCGGGUGGUGGUGUGGUUGCAGAAGAAGAAGCGCUGGUGCGAACUCGUCCAUCCGGCGCUAGUAUACCAGUAAGAUUUGGAGGCGAAGAAUUUGUUGUGUCUCUUACCAUGAAUCUCUGUAGCUAUGGAAACUUGGCUUCCUAUAAAUUUUUAAGAUAUAUCGCUAGCUCUUUGUUCCCCUAGUGUGUUUGCAUUAAUGUGUGAGAGGAAACUAUUCUGGGUAAGUAUUCUCCUGGGAUUUCCUAUGCUUUGCACUACUACGUACAUAGUUUGAAAAUGUAGUUUUGGAGUCCAAUAUGGCUCCAGGUUGAAGUUUGAUGCAUUGCACGUGAUUGCUGUACAUUAUAUCCUACUAUAAAUGCAUAACACUUGUCCG